rnacentral:misc_RNA from 1 species
GUAGGUGAACCUGCGGAGGGAUCAUUACCGAGCGAGGGCGCCCCCCUACCCUCUGUUAACCGUACCGCGUUGCCUCGGGGUGGCCCUCACCGGCGCCCCAGAGGACGUCCAUCAAAACCCUGCGUCUUUGCGUCGGAGUAUUAGUUUGAAUCAAUCAAAACUUUCAACAACGGAUCUCUUGGUUCUG